CAGAAACAUUUUCUAGGUGCCUCCUGUGUGCUGAGUGCUGAUGGAAGCCUUGCACACCAGGUGCGAGCAGAUGAUCAGUGAGACUGAGACAGGUCCCUUUCUGACCUGAGGUUUGACAACUUCCUUCUCCCUUACUGGUGACCCUAUUCCAAGACAUACCAGCAGCCGUGAACAGAAGACAGGAGACCCUUGGUCAGUGGAUAAAAUUACAGUUGUGAGUAAAGUUCGAAGAUGGCAGCGCUGCACGUCUUUGUUCUUAGAACUCCUCAUCGUCUUGUUAAUCUGGAAGCUUCAGGAGUGGUGGGGAGCUUCUUGGUCUGUAAGUCCUUCUUCAUUUUUCACCUAACAGGACAUAUUUAAGAGACCACGUCUCUCAAAACCAUCUCGGGCAGGGUUGCUGCCAAUAUCUGCUCCUUGCAAACAGCAAGGAGACUUAAAAACAGCAACAGCACGUCUCUAUGGGGCCCCCAGCCCUUUCUUUAUCAAUUCUUUCCUUUAAUAAAGAGAAAUUGUUGUGCUAUAUUGUGGCAGAGUUUGGGGCUUACAGAGAUAGAAUGGGAAGUAAAGGGCGACUGGCUGCCGCUGUGCAGGCGCUCUCUGAUUGUAAAACCAACCCAGUAACGGAUAAUAACCACCUUAGUGCGCUUAUCAAGGCAGUUCCUCUCUGGGAUGCAGAAGAGGCCACUGGAGACAACGUGCAGGCCUCUCACCGCUCCCGUUCAUUAACAAGGCACUGCUGGCUGCAGCUCAGGCUCCAUUACCUAGAGGCAACAAUGGCCGGGACCCGCAUUGAGUUGUAAUUAGGCUUGAUCAGGGCUAGGGUGCAGUUGCCAUAAUCAGGAUCACUCGGAAUUAAAUGUAUACUUGUGAAAGGAAAUGAGGUGAGAUUGAUUUAAUGGUAACCAAAGCAACCCCCUUUUCUGUAACCGUCUAAGCUUAAAGAGAGAGAGAAAGAGAGGGAGAGAGAAAAAGAAAAAAGCAGGGCAAAGGAAUACAGAAGAUGACCAUUUUAGUUUUAUGCAAUUUAUUGCAACUAGUUAGGAGAAAAUGUGUUUCAAUAAGAGCAAAUCUGUUCUAGCAAGGUGAUGGCUGGGUCCCAGAGAGCUUUGUAGGUCUCACUCCGUGCCUAAAGCAGAUCCUGUGAUUCUUAAUUUCCUCCUCCUUUUUGUCCAUUUCAUAUGUGUUUGGAAAUAGCCUGAUUAGGGCAAGAAUUUCAAUUUGCAGGAAAAGGAGGAGGAAAGUCAAGCUGGGCACUACUUCCUUUCUCUGGUGAGAAACAGUUCUUCAGUCUUUUACCUUUGGACCUAUGUAUAUCUCAGACCCAGUGACCGCCAGCUGAUCUGAGAGCAAAUAGAAGAUUUCGGAGACCUGUUUGUGAAACAGUUUAAGAAGUUGCAGAGAUGUGCACUAUUUUAUUCAAUUUUACUCAGUUGUUUUACAGGUUAGCAAGAUGCCGCUCUGGGAAUAAAAUCUCACCCUUAAGGUUUGAGAUAAUUAGUGAAACGAGCGCAUAUGCAUACAUUUUCAUUUCUGCACAUACAUGCAGAUAUUGGUAUACAUGAUUUAUUCCAUUCAUACAUGUGUGAUCUCUAAUAUUUAGACAUCGUAAGUGAAAUAUUUGCUCUUUCUCUUUUCUCCCCCUUGGCAGAUUUAUGAAUCUCUUCCUACAGCACAUCAGGUUCAAAAGGAAAAAUAUCACAGUCAUUUUGAGGCUAGGAUACUGUUAAAUAUGUAGAGAAUGGCUUAAAGGGAGAAGCUUUGUUUCUUAAAUACUUCUCAGAUGAUUAUGUGGAUGAGAAAAUGACGUGUAAAUAUUUUGAGCCAUUUGAGUGAGUAGCAAGUGUUGAAACAAAGUACAUUUCUUCCAGAUUUUAAAAAAAAAACUCUCUAGCUCUUUUUUUCUUUCUCUGUUGGAUAUAACACCUUAGCUAUUCAAAUAAUAAAACUAUAAUAACCUUCUGAAGAAAUCAUUGAGGUGAUUGGUACAUAUUAAUGCAUAUCUGACUAUGUGGACAUCUCAUGUGUAGGUUUGUAAGUGAACCUAAGUGAGGUCAUCUAGUUACGCUAAAUGGCCCAGCCCCUCCUCUGUGUGACCACCCGCUGCUCUGCGCGUACUCUAAACAGUUCACAUGCUCUCUUGAUUGAUGGCCUUCGCUUAUGUGUGUACUCCUCCAUAGCUUGGUAAAUUAAAACUUUGUUCUAUGAGUUUCUCUCCAGGAACAGGCUGACCACAGGCCGGAAACACACCUACAAGGUAUUCAGCAUCAGUGACAGAAGAAAAGAACAACGAAGACCCUGGAGUCCGUCCUGCCUGAAGGCUGACAUUUCUAAACCCCCUCCUUACUGCCCAUUUUCCUGAUGUAACUGCCUCAAGAUUCUGUAAUCCUUGAAGAUGGUUUUUUUGAGACAUUAUUCUGCCAUCUUUCUGAUUAUGCCAGCUAAUUGAAUUAAAGCGUCAUUUCUUGGUC